rnacentral:lncRNA from 1 species
CAUCACAAGUGCCCUGGAUUGGAUCACAAACAAGAGCAUCAUGGUUCAGAUCUAUGUUAGCUUUGAUACCAUAUUAAGAUUAAGCCAACAUGAAGGAAAAAAACUAUGUGACAUGCUACUACUUACUAGAUCAAACAAACUUUACAAUAAUCAGCUGGCGAGCUGUGCCACCAAAUGCAUGCAAUGUACCCUAUGUCCAACACAUGGUGCUCUUGCAAAGCUUUCAUCAAACAUGUUCUUUGAUGUAUAUGUUGUUUAUCUUGAAUUGCCCUGGUGAGAUGACUUCCUUUGUCAUUUUGUGCUCCUAGUCAAUGGAAAUACCUUUUAUGUUCUAAGCAAUUGUGGGUAACAAAGAAAAGGUUGAUGAAACUUGGUUUAUAUCAAACUCUUCCUUAUUGGUGUAUAAACAUAAUCAUUAAUCCAUUUAUAUAGUCUUAACUCUCAAACAUGUAUUACUUUUGCCAACUCCCAUAGAUAUCAUCAUCAUUAUCAUCUUCAUCCAAUAUCAUUUCACCAAAGUUGGGUCGACUAUGGUUUAAAAUUAAGUGGGAAGGUUUCAUUUUAAAGAAUUGGCUAUAACAAUGAUCAUUUCUCUUGCAAAAAGGGCUGCUGAUGAUCAUUUCUCUUGCAAAAAGGGCUGAUGAUCAGUGAUGGGACCUAAAAAGAAAUAAGUAUGUGGAUAAUAAAUAUGACAAUUAGAUAUUAUGAUAUCAUAUGUUAUAAUUUUUUUUGCUGCAUUGACGAAAUAUUUUUUGCCUGAAUCAUUAUUUAAUUCUCAAGUCAAAAUCCUAGAUUCCCAUAUGCCUGACAUGCAUACAAGAAAUUGUUUGUCAAACUUAAUCUUGCUGGUAUAGAAAGAGAUUUUUAUCAUCGGCUGACCCAUGAAGUAAAGCAUGAAAAAUAUUUUUUUUUCAUAUGGUUCAUUUAAAAUCCCAUAUUAAUCCUGGAAAAUUUUAGUGAAUCUCAAAAGUAAUAUGAGAUUCUCCGUCAGACUAGAUGUCUUGAAAUCUGUAAUAUCUGAUGUGAACAGUGGAUAGUAUAAAUGUUUGCACCAAGAUCAUAUAAAGCUACUGAUGACCUGAAUGAUGCACAUGCCAUAGCCUCAACUGUAGAUGGGGUUGCUAUUGUUGCAGGCCUUGUCUAGGCCACUCCAAGCUUGAGGCAAGCUUGCAAGCAAGCUCGGCCCCAUCCAUACAUGUAUGUGAGUUAAUGAUUAAAGUUUGACCUAGGCCAUGUCUAAAAUGAUUAGGCUUGGUCUCAACCUGAACUCAGUUGGGUGGGAAGUAAGUGUUCUAAUGUUUGGUUGGUGAAACUUAGAAAGCGACAGUGCACCAAGCCUCUCUUAUAUGCGAUCUUAAAUUUGUCAUCUCCCUAGCCAGAUCUAUCAUACUUGGAUAAGAGGUGAUCCUGUGCAAGUAGCCAAUGGUAAGGGACAUUCGAUGGUAUAAGAGUUUGUUGUGAACAGGUUUUAGGGAGAGUUGAUGAUUCAUAGAUUGACAAUGAACUAGCCGUGACUGGGAUAGGUGAGACAAGGGAAGGAGAAUCACAAGACGACAGAACAUUGGUAGAGAUUGUGGAAGUGGUUGGGGCAAUGGAUUAAGGAGCAAAGACAAUGUAAGUGAUGGGCCACUUGCAAGGUGUCGAGCUGGUGGUGGAUGCAUGGACCAAUGGUGAAGGGAUAUGUGAGGAAGGGGAGAGGUUCCCCAUGAUAUGCUAUUUGCAACAUUGGCAAGUUGUGGAGAGGAGGGAAUUAAGGGGAACGGAAUCAGAAAAAAGGAUGAGGGCUUUUCGGUUAGAGUUAAAUCAUAUAAUAUCAAAUCCUAGCCAUCCAUAUUGAAUGGAUGAUAUCAAGAUUUGCGGUCUCAAUAUUAGAUCCCAUAUUGAUAUCAUCUUAUU